CCUUUCCUGGAGGGGGGCGGAGGGCUUACCGUUGGUGUGGAUGGUAGAGACGCAAAUCAUACCUCUGGCUGACCGCCUGGGCCUUCAUACUAACCUGGCAAGGGAGACACCAUGAUCAAGAAGGCGGUUCACCCAGGGCGAGGCUUGUCCAUUGCACUCCGGCCAUCGGCAUCGCUUCUCGGCCUUUUGGCUAAGAUCACGUAUCUUGUCGGACGGUUGAGACUGCGAUCGCCUCUUGGAGGUUUCCUGACUUGAGAUCUUUUUAUAUCUUGAGUCACACAACUUCGAGAGGUACAUUGAACUCUGCUGCUUCGGGCUCCAACAAGUUUUAAGCCCCCCUCGGUGGUUCCUGGUGAAACUGGAGAGGGCGGUGUUUUACUUCCUGUGGGGGUCCAAUUGGGAGCGCCUGAAUAGGGAGACAGUCAAGAAAAGGCC